CACUCUAAGCUCGAACACCAAGC
rnacentral:miRNA from 1 species